rnacentral:lncRNA from 1 species
UGGGAAACAUAAAACUAAAGACUAGGUAAGAGAAAGGCAUGAUAUAAAGUUUGAGCUGCUGUUUAUCUUGUUUCUACUACACUAAGUUCUGGAGAUUUAUUUCGAAAACUUACAAAUCACAUGAUAAGUUCCUAGCAUUACAAACUACCUACCACAGCCAUACUUAAUAUAACAUCUUUUACUAUUCACAUUGAGUUUGAUCGAGCUGUGUAGACCCUUAGGAGCUUUUCAUGUGGUUAAACUAAGAUAUUCACUUGCACACAUCUACUACACCAUCCACCACCAUUCAUUAAAAUUGCUAAAAAAAUAUAUUAUUAUCACUCACUGUCCCAAAUAUUGUUAUUCUCUCUCUCUGAAAAGAUUUAAUACAGAAGAGGCAUGGGUUAUGCAAAAAUAUGCGAGGAAAUAAAAAGGGGCAAGUGCUCGGAACCUCGAAAAAACAGAAAAAGAGUGAGACGAGAGGUAAAAAUGAUAAGUGUCCGGAGUAGAAUUAGGGGUACAAAGAUGCCCACUUGAGCGGAAAAAAAUGGACAAGUGUCCGACAGUAGAAUUAGGGGUAUCUACUACCCACCUGAAAAAAAAGAAAAGAGAAAAAGAUAGCCCAUGUUCUCCCAAAGCAAAGAUCAAAGAAGAGAAGAGAUAGCAAUAUGAGGAGCAAUGAGGACUAAGUUUUAUCAGUACUUAUACAUUUUUACCAUCACUAUCAUUUACUCCACCACAC